CUGAAGAAUACAUAAUAAUAAAGGGAGAAGAGGGGGGAGGGAAAGUGGAAAAUUAUUGUCCUUGUUGUUGGGCUUUUAGUUUCUCUUGUUUUUCUUUCUCUUUCUUCGCCUCUUCCAAUUUCUUCAACUUCAUUUCUUUGGUCAUCAUCUUAAAAUCAG
rnacentral:ribozyme from 13 species